AAACAUUGAGGGCGGAACAGGCAGCCGCCACACCCUUUGGGUCUGAAAGAGAUGUAAGAUUGUCACCUUACCUUUGUUU
rnacentral:ncRNA from 12 species